UUGACUACUUUUUUAGAAUGCAUUGCUAUCUACAUGUUUGUUUGAUUUGGUUCUAAAUCAAUUUGUAGAUGUUGCUUCUUUGCAACCAUGUCAACACUAGGUGCCUAUGUGGCAUGCCAUGAAAAAUAGCCUCUCUUUUUUUUCUUUUUUAAAAAAAAAAAAAAUUUACAUAGCAUUUUUGUUUUGAAAAUCAGUUUAGAUAGUUUGAAUGGCUAACUAAAAUAAAGUCUUGUUGGAGUACACAUUAGCUAGAGUUGUUUGGCAAAAUAGAGAGUGCAAUUUUUUGUGUGCUUAGGCAAAAUGCCUAGAAGUGUGAGUUUUUUCUUCUCUUUCUCCCUCACUUUUGCAAGGAACUAAACAGUACCUUUACCUCUUUCUACUUCUCAAUCACUCCGUAUUCAUGUAUAUACUGGUGUCUUAACCUAAUUGUUUUCCUGUGCUUUUUUGCAGCGAUGGAAGCAGAGAUAGUGGCGAAACCUCAGGCUGUGAAUCCAUGCUGUGUUGUGUUGAAAGAGAAAUACUCAAAGCUGGAAGCCUCACGGAAUGCUCUUCGACAAGGUGUAAAGAUCCAAAAUGAACUCAUUGAUAAACUUCAAAAGG